UCCCCCGUGGUGUAACGGGCAGCACCCUGGAUUUUGGAUCCAGUAGUCAAGGUUCAAAUCCUUGCGGGGGAG
rnacentral:tRNA from 2 species